rnacentral:misc_RNA from 1 species
UUGUGGAGGAGGACGCCGAAGGUGGGGCUAAUGACUGGGGUGAAGUCGUAACAAGGUAGCCGUACCGGAAGGUGCGGCUGGAUCACCUCCUAACAGGGAGACAACAAAAUGUUAAAUAUUAAUUUUGUCACCUUAGGUCGAUCGGUAUCUCAGGUUCUUAAUUUAUAUUGAGAAUUUCAAUUCCUAAGUUUUUUCUAGGUCACACCCAUUACUUUUCCUGGGCCAUUAGCUCAGGUGGUUAGAGCGCACCCCUGAUAAGGGUGAGGUCCCUGGUUCAAGUCCAGGAUGGCCCAUAUCUCUAUGUUGGGGGUAUAGCUCAGUUGGUAGAGCGCCUGCUUUGCAAGCAGGAUGUCAGCGGUUCGAGUCCGCUUACCUCCACUGAUCACCACCUCUUCCAUAAUGUAGAAGGGAAUUGUUUUGAGAUGUCCUAAAUUCUGAACGAAUCUAGCUUCCUAAUUAAAAAAUUAAGAUGCUGGACUCAUUGAAUUUUUUCAUUGUUUUCAGAGAACCUUGACAACUGCAUAGAUUAUUUUAAAGACAAUAAGCAUCUUUAAUGAUGCAGAUUUAUUAUUUGUGCGAAUGCAUUAAUAACAAUUCUAUUAAGCUGAUGCUUCAAUUAUGAAGUUAUUGGUCAAGCUACAA